rfam:Myotis davidii contig101305, whole genome shotgun sequence.
GCCUGUGUGGCUCAGUGGAUAGAGCAUCAGCCUGGGGACUGCAGGGUCCCAGGUUCGAUUCUGGACAAGGGCA